rnacentral:tRNA from 1 species
AUUCCAGCGCCAGGUAGGGCUGCUGGUCGGCGCUGAUGCCGGCGUCGAGCAGGCGCGCGAUGUGGGCGUGUUCCAGGCGCGCCAGGAUCU